rnacentral:rRNA from 1 species
UAGGGAAUAUUGGGCAAUGGGCGAAAGCCUGACCCAGCAACGCCGCGUGCACGAUGAAGGCCUUCGGGUCGUAAAGUGCUUUUCUGAGGAAUGAGUAAGGACAGUACCUCAGGAAUAAGCCUCGGCUAACUACGUGCCAGCAGCCGCGGUAAAACGUAGGAGGCGAGCGUUAUCCGGAUUUACUGGGCGUAAAGCGUGUGUAGGCGGUUCGGCAAGUUGGAUGUGAAAGCUCCUGGCUUAACUAGGAGAGGUCGUUCAAUACUACCGAACUUGAGGGCAUCAGAGGAAGGUGGAAUUCCCGGUGUAGUGGUGAAAUGCGUAGAUAUCGGGAGGAACACCAGUGGCGAAAGCGGCCUUCUGGGAUGAUCCUGACGCUCAGACACGAAAGCUAGGGUAGCGAACGGG